UACGGAGGGGGCGAGCGUUAUUCGGAAUUAUUGGGCGUAAAGCGCGCGCAGGCGGCUUCUUAAGUCUGAUGUGAAAGCCCACGGCUCAACCGUGGAGGGUCAUUGGAAACUGGGGAGCUUGAGUGCAGAAGAGGAGAGUGGAAUUCCAUGUGUAGCGGUGAAAUGCGUAGAUAUAUGGAGGAACACCAGUGGCGAAGGCGGCUCUCUGGUCUGUAACUGACGCUGAGGCGCGAAAGCGUGGGGAGCAAACAGG
rnacentral:rRNA from 1 species